GAUGAACGCUGGCGGCGUGCCUAAUACAUGCAAGUCGAGCGAACGGACGAGAAGCUUGCUUCUCUGAUGUUAGCGGCGGACGGGUGAGUAACACGUGGAUAACCUACCUAUAAGACUGGGAUAACUUCGGGAAACCGGAGCUAAUACCGGAUAAUAUUUUGAACCGCAUGGUUCAAAAGUAAAAGACGGUCUUGCUGUCACUUAUAGAUGGAUCCGCGCUGCAUUAGCUAGUUGGUAAGGUAACGGCUUACCAAGGCAACGAUGCAUAGCCGACCUGAGAGGGUGAUCGGCCACACUGGAACUGAGACACGGUCCAGACUCCUACGGGAGGCAGCAGUAGGGAAUCUUCCGCAAUGGGCGAAAGCCUGACGGAGCAACGCCGCGUGAGUGAUGAAGGUCUUCGGAUCGUAAAACUCUGUUAUUAGGGAAGAACAUACGUGUAAGUAACUGUGCACAUCUUGACGGUACCUAAUCAGAAAGCCACGGCUAACUACGUG
rnacentral:rRNA from 1 species